rnacentral:lncRNA from 1 species
AGGUCAUAAAGGGUCCCCAUCAAACCCAAUAAUUAUGGUCAACGUUCGUUCCUGUUCGCUUGUCCCGCCUUCCAUUCCACUACAAAGUGCAAACUGUGGUAAUAAAAACAGAAUAGGGCGAACGAGUGAAAGGAAUGACUACGAUAAAUCCGUUUCUGCUUCGUUCGUGACUGGACCCCAUUAAAAUCAAGCAACCGGCUGAGCUCCUUUAUAAGCGUAAACACACUUCAUUGCGCAGCCGGUAAUGCAUUUACAACCUCGGUGAGCUCCAUCGCAGCACCUCGUUAAAAAUUAACGAGCUCAUUGCAUGACACUAGCGUCUUCUAAAAUAACUUUGUCCUAUAAAAAGAUCAAAAGCAAUGGGCAUUUUUAUUGGUAAGAUGGAUGCAUGGUACUCCCGUAUCGGGAAUGGAAAAAGGUAUACGUAUUGAAAGUGAAAUGCACAAGAGCAUCGGAUGCUGUCAUCCCAAAAUACGAAUGGACUAAGUGACAAGACAGUCGCAAGUCGGUCGCAUAUGCAAAGUGAUUCAAUUUCGCCACCACUUUUUAUCCGGUCACCAUCGUAGCUGAAAGUGCGACAGAUGUUAAGCAAAGUUUGACGAGGUGACGUGAAGAAAAGUUUGAAAAGCAAAGGCGUUAGCAACUAGUAGAAAACAGAAUAAAAGAACUAUGGAAAAAGGUCUCAUCACGAAGUUUGCAGUUUUCGUCGUUCCAUUUGUUUCUUCUUUGUGGAGUCUUUUAAUUCGAGUCCGUUUGAGCAAUGCCACCAGGAUGCAAGAAGACAAACCACUUGACAAGACGUUGCAUCUUGUGCUGGUGGGACUAGCUACUUAAAUCUAUGCACAAUUUGGGGAGCUUCAGUAUCCCAGCGACAACUGGACAGUGGACUGCCGUUGUACAGAACAUCAUCCAUAGCCGCAUCAGCCUGUUGUAGUUUUUGUUGUCAUAAACGUGAGCAAGCCCAUCACGAUAAUGAAGAGAGAGGGAGAGAGUGUCCAGGACGGAGGCGGAAUAUAACCUUGGAUGUACAGAGGAAAGGACAGACGGACAUCAGCUGGUCUAAUGCCAAACUUUGGAUAGCCCUAUACAUGACAAAACCAAGACUGCAAGUCUACAAGCUGUGAUCCAUCAUUGCACUGGAUGAGAAGAUUCAAAUGGAAGUAAGAGAGGGAGCUCGAGAAAAUACGAUGAAAAUCGGACAGAACAGAACGACCGGAGGGCAGCUGAAGUCAUUCAACAACAGUCAGAAAGGGAAACAGAACCACUUUUACUACUCUUCGACGGGCAAGACAAGCAAGACAAGCAAGGCCGAAGGGUAAACGACGAACGAGCGGCUGUCAUGACAACGGUGUCGAUGUCGUGCAAUGAUAAGGGUGGGCGUUGGGGAGACGUGAUCGCUGUUGGCUACAGCCCGUGGAAAUAAUAGACAACACACUACAUAUGCUAUAAUUCUUCUAACAAACAAACAACGCCACUUUACUUGAUGAAAUGAGUCAGCGCUCAUUCGCCGCCCUCUGGUGGAUAACAUGCGUCAACCACCAGAAUAUUGUCGAUUUCGGCCUUUGGAAUAUUUUUGGUGGUUUUAUUGACUCUCUCCUCACCAUAAAUGGUAGAACACGCCCUAAACUAUGGAACUUUAUUUUUGUGCUGGCUACAUGCAAGGUGAUUUCGUUUUCUUGUUUUGUUCCUUGAUUGCGGUCGGUAAAUCAGACAAAAUGUGCUACAAUAGUCACAGUUUUUACAUCAAAUUUUAGAUGGGUUAGUGAGAUUGAUCGUCGAGGUUCAGUCAUGGCACUAAUGUGUAGAGGGAAUUUGCAAUACCUUUCCCGUAGAUGAUGAUCCAUCAUGGCCGACAUUUGCACUCCCUUCCUCUUAUAUCGUAUAUUGUUUUCUACCUACUAUUUGUGAAAUUAGGCUAUCGUCAGAAAGAAAAAUUCGAUUUGAUGAAACAGUCAAUAGUUUGAGUAACAAAAUUUGCAUUAUUUUCUUGCCUAUAGCUUUAGGUUGACGUAAAAAAGAAAAAAAAAAGGCAAACACUUCUGUG